CCGGGGCUGCAGCGACAGGAAAUAGUGAACAGGAACUGUGCAUGCCCAUAUAUGGGAACUGAGUGUGUACAGAAAGAACACAGAGAGAGAGAUUUAACUCUAGGCACAUGAAGCAAAUGAAGCCUUUAAGAAAAAUGUAUAUAUUACUAAUUAUAUGGUUUAGUGUGUCAAUACAGGUGGGCGUCUUUCAACUUUGCAACCUUGAGUUCAGCAGCAGAAAAGUAGAUUAAAAGAAUUGGGAGAAAAUAAGCCAGUCUUUGGCUCGAAAUUGUGCAGCUUGAGCUCUUACUUUGUCCUUCACCCCGAGAAGACACGCAAAAGACAGUUAAUCACCUGAUGAAGACAGAUAGAACAUCGUGGGCUUGAAUACAGCAGGCAAACGACAGGGCCACUGAUCCAUUAACACUGAUGACGACUGACGACCAGCAGCAGCAUGUAAGACUAAUGCAACAUGUACUGUGAAAAUACAGGCUGGGCAGUUGAACAGUGGGAUAAAGAAUUGUGGAAGAGCACUGGACAUUGAGUGAUAUUUUGCCAUGCUGGGACUUAAUCUGAAAGAAAAGACUGUAAAGAAACAGAGAAGAAGACAGCAGCUGAGUUGAGACUGUGUUUGCUGGAGCUUUGAAGCCCGAACAGGACAUUGUGCAGAGAGGACCAGUGAGAGAUGAAGCUGGACGAGUUUGACUGCGAGAAUAUAGGAUAUAAUUGGAUUGAAAAUUGAAGCCUGAACUCAUGAAUUGUUUAGGGAUGUCCACUACAGCAUAACAAAGAGGUAAACAUUAGAAAAGGAGUAAAGCAGACUUGGACCGGCUCUCCACAGCAGCAGUCGGAAGAAAGUUAGAGGUUAACAUCUAUGGAUAACUUAAGGCAAGUUUCUGGUUGAAUUGUUCACAGCAUGAUGUGUCCAGGAACCUGAAAAGCAAGCCCUAGCUCCUGGCUGAAGACUAGGAGUGCUUUAUUUAAGGUGGGAAAUCAAAACAGAGGGUUAGUAAUUCGGGGAAAAAGAAAACUGACUGCUUAACUGGAGAAUUGGAAAGGUGUCUGACAGACUGCGAAGCCAUGGAUGCAAAAUACCACACACAAACAGAAAAUGUAUUAACCGUACAAAGACAAGCUCAUGAAGCUUGUCUAAUCAAAGCUUAAUGCAUAGAGAUAUUGAUUUAAAACCUGGCUAAGAACAUAAGCAUAUGCAAUGAAGAUCUGCUUGCUGCUUGUAUGAGUGAGAGAAUGGUGUGAAUGGUUAAUAAAAUUGAUGGAAAGAUUUAAAAUAGAUGGAAAAACACAAGAAAACUAUUAAAGCAGUUUUUAAAAGGGUGACUUAGGAGUGCUCUUGCACUGAUUGAUCAAAACAAGUGAUUAGUAUAGAAAGAAAAUGAAAAUAAUUGAAUAAUAUGAUAAGUUUAAACAUGUAUUUCUCUUGUCAAGUUGGCUGUUGAGCUGUGAGUCACUAUGCAAAUUAGCUCGAGUGAGUGACGACAGAGGAGCUUGCUGUGUGUGUGUGAUUGAGGCCUUGAGGAAAGGAAGCAAAGUAGACUGUUCAGAGGUGCAGAUUUGGACAGGAAAUUUAUAAUUUAGUGUUGACACAUUGUUAUAACGUGUUUAUAUUUUAGGCUGAAUCUAAGUAUGGUGAAGAUACAUUGUUGUAAAGGGGACCAUUGUUGUGUGUAAAACGGUGCAGUUUGGACAAGGUUUUCAGUGGGUUGAAAGGGUGAAAUUUAAGAUUGUUUGAAAUUUUGUGGGGCUGUUGUUUUCAUUUUAAUAGAGGAGUUUUGAUAAACAUGGACAUGUCUAAAAGGGC
ensembl:lncRNA